GGUCGCAGGUUCGAAUCCUGCACGACCCACCAAUUUCAGCAUUUAACUCAGAUGCUGAACGUGAAGGAUAACGUUGCGUCAGCAACGGCCCGAAGGGCGAGGCGAAGUCGAGUCAUCCUGCACGACCCACCA
rnacentral:sRNA from 1 species